GGGAUAUAAAGAUAAAACAGAUCAUUCAAAGGGGAAAAGGGCUAAUCCAUACAGUGCGGUUUCUGAGAAGGCAGCAGGGGUGGGGGCAGGGAGGCCCAGAGCGCAGGUGGAGAGUGAGCCCGGUGUGGAGGUAGCCACUUCUCCCCAGAGGAAGGCGAGGAUGUGGAGGGUGAAAGCGGGCUCGCAGACACGAAUAUGACCAACGUGAUGCAGUGUGACUCUCAGGAUUAUGCAGUUAUAUAAGGCUUGGUCCGUUUGAAAGAUUUGAAGAAGCCAGCUACCAUGAGGUCUACAUCUUUCCACAGCCUUGGUGUUGGAACCUAAUCCUCAACGUGGUGGUAGGUUUACCACCUGAAGCAGAGAACAGCCCUCGCCAGGUACUGAACCAGCUGGUGCCUUAACAUUGGACUUCCAGCCUCCAGAACUGUGAGAUGACCACAAACUCUCCACCUGGAAGCCCCUGUCCUACCCUGCUGCACCCCUGCACCGCCCUGCUCAUCUGCCCUUCUCCACUCUUCUCUGGAAAACCCUCCUGCCUUGGCCCAGCUCCAUUCUUUCCAGGGCUCCUUCUUAGAGGAUGUGCUUUGGGAAGGAGCUCGUUAGUGCACUCAAACCAAGGGGUUCACAGUCCAUGAUUUAAUAUGAGGGGUUCCCUGGGGCACUUGGCUUUUCACAGGGCUUAAGCUUUCAACCUGAGGAUGAAUCUUUAAUGACAGUACUUCAACACUUGGGACAGAACCCUAGGGGAUGGUGAUGAGCAGUCGGUCUUCACUAUGCACUUUGGACCCUGCACUGAGCCCCAUGGCCUACUCUUCCUGGGCUAAGCAUUGUGCUGGAGUGGACGGGACCAUCAGCCUGAAACAAGGAACACACCCAGUCACUGGGCAGAAAUGAGAGGUGGCACACACUUCCGACCCAACUGCUCAGAGGCGAAGUGAUAUUUCACACCUGAAAUGUUCAUCUCAUAAAACUCUUAAAAUAUGCUAAUUAAUGGUAAACUGGGCAGAUACUUUUCUGUUAAAGAACAGAUUACAGCACUAAGUGACCCAGGGAGAUCACAUUCUAAAAUGGAUGCUCCAGACUAAGGUAACUUGAUACGCUGCCCUUUUGACCAGAAUUUGCUGGGAAAGGAAUAAACCAUAUCAUCAUAUAGUUUGUGGUAUGUGAAGGUGAAGUGCAUUAGUUUCAACAAAACACUGAGGCACAGGCUCUCAAAAUGAAUUUUUGUAUUGCUUCCUAGAAUGAAAAGUUGUCGGAUAGAUGUAGUUUGUAUACUAAAAUAUUGAAAUUUCUGGGACAUUUUGCUGUAUUACAGAGACAAGUAAAAUAGUAAAAACUGGAAUGGUUUCAGAAACACUAGAACAUAUGGUACCCAUCCUAGCAAAAUUCAUUGCCAACGCAGAAACCAAAAAUAAUUGGAAUUUUUGGUGAGGUGAAUUUGGAGACACUGCCAAAAAAUGGACUCUUCCCAUCUCUAUGCCUUCUGCUUGCGGUCUCCGGCCAAAUGCUGUCCAUGGAUGAAAAACAAGGUUUCCCAGGAGGUUGCUAAAGUAGACGGCAUCAUGCAGUAGGACGGCCUUGCCCUGCUGAGGAGAAAUGACAAGGCACAUAUGGUGCUCAUUCCUGCAAAUGUCAACUCCUUAUUUCAAAACCAAAAAAUGAAAUAAAAUGCAUUUCAAACAUUUAUGCACAGAUCAAUCGAGAAUGUGGUUCCAAGGAUGUGAGUAGGAUGCCAUGAAGCGGUUGUCAGAGUGUUCUGCAUAUCCCCUUGAUAUCUGGACUUCUUCUAGCUGGUGGUGCAGCCAGGGAACUGACUCACGAUCACUGCAGGGCAGCAUGCCUUUCAGCUCACACCAGGAAGACUCUGCAGAUUGAGUAACUUUCUUCCAAGGGGCUGUUAAACUUUAGAUCCUUCGUGACUCACAGAGUGAAGCCUCACAAUAACCAAAGUUUAGACAGCAAAAUAUCCUCAAGAGUACUUAUGAUUUUUACAAAAUAUGCAGCCUCUUUGCCUUUACCUUUAAGUGGCCAUUGGCUGUAUUAGUCAGAACAGGCUAGGUUAUGCUGCAGAACAAACAGGACCUGGAAUCCUUCAACAAAGGUAUAAUUUUUGUUCAUGAUAUUUCUCCAGCACAGGUGAGCAGGUACUGGGGAGUAGUCUGCUCCACAUAGCCACUCAGGAACCCAGGCUAAAUGAGGCUUUGUUGUCUGUAAUGUGGCCAGUGGCCUAGGCAACAGAAGAGCCUGCACAGACAGCUCACAUCUAUAGUUCAGACCAACAGGGCCACAUAUUACUUCUUGUAGUCCAUUGGCCAGGACUACUCAAAUGACCCCAUUUAAUGGCAGGGAGGUUUGACAUGUAGUCUUUCAUAUGCCUGGUGGAGAGAAGCACUAGUAAUAUCUAUUUGAUUUUAGUAUUUCAUCCACUUACUUGAGCCUGUACUAAAUUCUAGACCUUGUGGUGGAUAUAGAUGCAUAUAAAUUACAUUAAUUGCCCUCAAAAUCUGAAGACACCAUAUCUCAGGAUGGAAAAAGCGAGGUUUGAGACUUUGACCACCCAUACUCAAGCAAUUACAUCAUUUGGAAUAUCUCUCUCCCAAAAGAUGGAGAAUGAUUGCCCAGAGUAAUGAUUGCCCAGAGGAAGACAGACUGGACAGUCCCUGACGUGCAAAUCCAGGAAUUUCAUAUGACCCCUACCAUCAAAGGGCUCAGCAAGCACCCUCUUACUAUACCUGCCAGAGCCCAACUACUGUGCCCUGGCAAUCAAAGCGGGGUGGGUGAUGCAGUGUUCAGAGAAGGGUGAGAAGAAGAGGACUAUGUGAAAAGCAAGAAUAUUCUGAUUGAUGACGUAUUUUAGGCUCUGAGGCAGGACUGGAUCUGCUGUCUGUCAGGCCUCAGAGCCCAAGCUAAGCCAUCAUAUCUCCUGUGACCUGCACAUAUACAUCCAGAUGGCCUGAAGUAACUGAAGAAUCACAAAAGAAGUGAAAGUGGCCCGUUUCUGCCUUAACUGAUGACAUUACCUUGUGAAAUUCCUUCUCCUGGCUCAUCCUGGCUCAAAAGCUCCCCCACUGAGCUUGUGACCCCCGCCCCUGCCAGCCAGAGAACAACCCCCUUUGACUUUACCUAUCCAAUUUUCCUUUACCUAUCCAAAUCCUAUAAAACGGCCCCACCCCUAUCUCCCUUUGCUGACUCCUUUUCAGACUCAGCCCGCCUGCACCCAGGUGAAAUAAACAGCCUUGUUGCUCACACAAA